rnacentral:tRNA from 1 species
GCUCUGGUGGCAUAAUGGUUAAGCAGCUUGACUGCUAUCCAAAAGGUUGGUGGUUCAAAUCCACUCAACGGCU